UUUGUGCAAGCUCGUCUGGGUAGGUACCACCCACUCAUCAGAUAUUCUACCGCAAAACAGCAGUACUUGGUAUUGUUGUGUUCCGGUUUGAAGGGUGAGUGAGCCAGUGUAAUUACAGGCACAAGGGACAUAAAAUCUUAGUUCCCAAGGUUGGUGGCGCAUUGGCUGUAUAAGCGAUGGUUGACAUUUCUUACAAUGCCAAUGUCUAAGGGCGUUUGGUGACCACUUACCAUCAGGUGGCCCAUAUGCUCGUCCGCCUUCCUAUUCCUAUUCUAUAAAAUAUCUCAAUAUUUAAUAUAUAUAAUUUAUUAAUAUGAUUCGAUAAAUAUGACAUUAGUAAUUGUAUCCCUUUAAGGGUUGAAUUAUAUAAAAAAACAACCCUCAAAACCAAUGUAGUAAUUUUAAGUUACAUUUAGAUUAUUUAAUAGGCUUAAAAUAAAAACGUGUUUAUUUUAAAUGUAUAAUAAAAAUUAAAUUGUACAUAAAUUAAAAAAAUGUUAAGUUUGAAGCGAUUUGGACCGUAACUGUAUUUAUUUGAAGCAAUAUUAUUUGAUUCAGUAAAAGCUUCAUUUUUUUUCCAAAUCUUCCCAAAUUUAGGCCGGUUGGCGUGGUUGGUAGAUGCCUACCUUUCACGCCGAAGGUUGUGGGUUCCAUUCCCACCCAGAACAAACAUUUGUGUGCAUGAACAUGUCUGUUUGUCCAGAGUCUGGAUGUAAUUAUCUAUAUAAGUAUGUAUUUACAAAAGAAAAAUAGUAUAUGUAGUAUAUCAGUUGUCUGGUUUCCAUAGUACGAGCUCUGGUUAGUUUGGGAUCAGAUGACCGUGUGUGAAUAAUGUCCCAGGAUAUUAUUAUUAUUUUUGAUCAACUCAAAACGAUUUAGCGUUUGAAAUGUUUUAUAAAUCUGACCUCGAAUAUUUAAUUAGUUCGUGAUAAUCAAUGUGUAUCUAGAAACCCUAUGGAAUUAAAUAUAUUCAAUCAAUGGA